CGUUGAGCUUGGCGUAGAGCACGUCGUCCAGGUCCCAGGCCAGCAGGCGCCGCAGCAGGACCAGCGACUCGUCGAAGUACUCGGCGAUCAUGACGAGCGAGAAGACCUCCUCCACCUGGCGGAUGAGGCCGGCCAGGAGAAGCAAACUGCCAUACUGUAAGCAGCUGUAUGGGGAGGCACCAGGCGACAACAGUCCCUGAGGAACCGGGCCUCAUUCUUUCAGCCUGGUUGAAGAACUGAAUAUUGCCAGCAACCACAUGAACGAGCUUGGAAGGGGAGCAUUUCCAAUCAGACCUUCAGAUGAGACUGCAUCCCUAGCAGCCAGCUUGAUUGCAAUGCCAUGUGACCUUGAGCCAGAGGAACCCAGAGGACUCUGGGUCAGCCAAGGAGGUCAAGCCCGGAGAGAGCGCUGCGGGGACUUUCCCUGGGAAGUGCUUCAAGCAGGCCACACAGAGAAGGACAACAGGGUGCUUGGUGGUCUCCUCUGUCCCACUCUCCUCCAUGUCUUAGCCCUGGGGACCCAGUCAGCCAGACCCUCGUCUAAGGUCCCCUUGAAAUAGGGCAUCGUUAGUGCAAGAACUUCAUGGACACCACCUCUAAGGUGGGCACCAGUUUCUGCUUGGCCACCACCAGUGUCGGGACGCUCACUACCUUCAGAUACAGCCUGGUCCGUUUCUGAGCAGCCUCAGCUGUUCAAAAGUUGUUUCUGGGACAGCUAGGAUCAGCCUGCCACUAUGAGUGCCCUGCUCAGCCUGUCCCCUUCCACCUUCCAUCUACAUGAUUGCUAGUGUUGCUGUCCUAGACCACAUGGAUCAUUUUUCUCCAUGACAGACCUUCAGGUAUUUGAAAGCAGUAACCUUGUCUCCUCUGGGUGGGCACUCGGCCAGGCUAAACAUUCCAGGUCCUCAGAGAGGGUGCUGCUUGGACACUGGAAGCGGCCUCCCUUCCCUUGCCAAGUUCUCUCCAUGAUGCCUCCUCUGGAGAUGGAGUCAGGGCACUGGCACCCAGGGAGGGGGCUGGCCAGGGCUGGAUCUAACCUCUGUAAUCUCCAGGCUGGUGUGGGGUGGGUGGUGGUCUCCUGGGGCCCUGGCUCCUGCCCCUUGUAUUCUUCAAACUCCUCUGCCUGCCCUGUGUCUUCUCCAUGGAGAGAGUUUCCCUCAGCCGUCCCAGACAGGUCAGGAUGCCCAGCCUCAUCAGAAUAUCAGUGCUAAUUUUAGUCAGAACAAUUUACCUCAGGCUGCUGCCUGGUUUUGCAAAUUGCUUUCCUUUCUCCAGGGAACCAAAGGAAAAAAUGGUAUAGCUAGGCAGAGCUUUGAAAACGGGCUUGGACACCCACCCACUCCCAAAUGAGCCCUUUUCUCUCUCCCCUCCAGCUCUAGGGCCAAUAUGGGUGCUCUUAGAGGGGGAGGGUGUCCCGGCUUGGACCACCAGCCCUGACCAUCGGGUGACCUGGAGACUCCGUCCUUACUAGAGCACGGCACAGCCCGGUGAGCAGGGAAACUGCCCAGGGCACUAGAGAGGAAGGGGCUGAGUGAGGGCUGAGGGGGUUGCCGAUUGGUGGCUCAGGAGAUCAAUAUCUUUCCACCUCUCUCUUUUCCUGCCUUUUUCCUCCCAGCCUGCUGCCAGGUCCUCCCCAGCCCCCUCUCCUUGCCAUCCACCCCCACGUCAUCCCUGCCUCCAAAUUCCCUUCAUCCUUCUCUCUCCAUCACUACCGCCCCUUCAGCCCCCAUUCCCUCAAUUUCAUCCCCACCUACCCCAGGGAUCCGGUCACUAGGAUCUGGUCACCACAGGGGAUAGGCCAGACUCGCCCUCUCACCCCGGCUUCUCUCGUUCCCCAGGGGGGGGUAGAGCGCCCCCCCCCCCGCCCCCAUGCUCUCCAGGCACCAGGCCCCCGCGACACUCUCCUGCCCACCCCUCGUCCCCUGUCCCGGCCCGGUCCACCCCAGUCCCCCUGCCCCACGCCGGCCACUGCAGUACUUACGCCGCG